CAGAGAAUAGUUUAAUUUAAAAUUUUAAUUUUGGAGAUUAAGGAUAAGUGUUUCUUUUCUCUGA
rnacentral:tRNA from 1 species